rnacentral:rRNA from 1 species
UACGAGGGGGGCAAGCGUUGUUCGGAAUUAUUGGGCGUAAAGGGCGCGUAGGCGGUGCGGUAAGUCACCUGUGAAAACUCUGGGCUCAACUCAGAGCCUGCAGGCGAAACUGCCGUGCUUGAGUGUGGGAGAGGUGCGUGGAAUUCCCGGUGUAGCGGUGAAAUGUGUAGAGAUCGGGAGGAACACCGGUGGCGAAGGCGGGUCUCUGGGCAUCUCCUGACGCUGAGGCGCGAAAGCGUGGGGAGCAAACGGG